rnacentral:lncRNA from 1 species
AUGGAGACAGUCGGGCAGCAUGUUCUAGACGAGAGGGCAAUGAUUGAUGGAUCUGCCUUUAUUGGAUUAGAAGAAACCAAAGUGGUAAAGAAUAUGAAGAUUUUUGAUUGGAGUCCUGAAAAAGAUCGGACAGAAAAUGUGGUGGAAAAAGUGAGAGGCACUUUUGAGGCUGAAUUUGAAGACCUGGACUCUGAUAAUAAAGCCUGGGAAUUAGAUGUUAGAGCCACACCAACAGAUACAACAGCUGCACCCCAGUAUGAGGAAGAGAACUGGGAUAAAGAGCUGGCAGAGAGUGAAAAUGAUCAUCCUUAUGAUUUUGAAGAUGCAAUCCACAUUGCAAGUUUCUUGGAUCAAGAUCCAGCAACAUCAUGUUCCACUCAAGAAAGACCUUUGUAUGACCCAAGUUUUCACCAUGCGGCAUCACUGACUUUGAACCUGACACAGGUCACACCAGUGGAUGGCCAGUUUGAUGACGCUGUUGACUGAUGCAUGCUCAGCCUUGGGGCAGAUGCGUCACUUCUAAACAGAAUCCUUCACGAAGCUGAGCUGAAAAACAAGAGGAACCCUUUUGUGCUCUGAAGGUUUGAAUCUUGUCAAAGACCAGAGCAACACAAGAUUAAGGAUAUAACUGAGUAACAAUUAUGGAGCAAAAUUUUGCUUUAAAUAAUCACAUAAAUGGUUUUGGUUUAUUAUUUUAAAGUUGCUGGUGUGGUUGCUGCUGUUGUUAAAUUGCUCAUUUUUUUCUUUCCUGUCACCUGUACAGUAUUAUUUUAUUUGACGUGCUUGACUAAGCUGAGGUGUCAGUAUGUAUUAUUUCCAUAUUAUAAACUCAGUAUUGUGUUUGCUGUAACUUAUUUUUUUGAUAUAAAAGAGCACCAGUGUGCAGGAGGCAAUUACUUUGACAGGAUAAUUUCUGAAAAAUACAGGUUAUUUGGUUUUGUACACUGUGUACACAAGUGCGUUAUUUAACAUAGAAAUUGGAAGAAGUGCUGAUUUACCAUAUUGCCUAACACCUGAAUGUCCACUUUUCACUGAUUUAUUUAUACAUACAGUAUUGGAGACCUUAUCACCAAUGCUUUCCAGAGGCAGUUAUUGAUUGUCACCCUUAUAUCUCUUAGCAAUGAU